rnacentral:rRNA from 1 species
CCUACGGGCGGCAGCAGUGAGGAAUAUUGGUCAAUGGACGAGAGUCUGAACCAGCCAAGUAGCGUGAAGGAUGACUGCCCUAUGGGUUGUAAACUUCUUUUAUAUGGGAAUAAAAUGUUCCACGUGUGGGAUUUUGUAUGUACCAUAUGAAUAAGGAUCGGCUAACUCCGUGCCAGCAGCCGCGGUAAUACGGAGGAUCCGAGCGUUAUCCGGAUUUAUUGGGUUUAAAGGGAGCGUAGGUGGAUUGUUAAGUCAGUUGUGAAAGUUUGCGACUUAACCGUAAAAUUGAAGUUGAAACUGGCAGGCUUGAGUACAGUAGAGGUGGGCGGAAUUCGUGGUGUAGCGGUGAAAUGCGUAGAUAGCAGGAAGAACUCCGAUUGCGAAGGCAGCUCACUGGACUGCAACUGACACUGAGGCUCGAAAGUGUGGGUAUCAAACAGGAUUAGAUACCCUUGUAGUC